GUGGGGAAUCUUGCGCAAUGGGCGAAAGCCUGACGCAGCCAUGCCGCGUGGAUGAUGAAGGUCUUAGGAUUGUAAAAUCCUUUCACCGGUGAAGAUAAUGACUGUAGCCGGAGAAGAAGCCCCGGCUAACUUCGUGCCAGCAGCCGCGGUAAUACGAAGGGGGCUAGCGUUGCUCGGAUUUACUGGGCGUAAAGGGCGCGUAGGCGGACAUUUAAGUCAGGGGUGAAAUCCCGGGGCUCAACCUCGGAACUGCCUUUGAUACUGGGUGUCUUGAGUAUGAGAGAGGUGUGUGGAACUCCGAGUGUAGAGGUGAAAUUCGUAGAUAUUCGGAAGAACACCAGUGGCGAAGGCGACUCACUGGCCCAAUACUGACGCUGAGGCGCGAAAGCGUGGGGAGCAAACAGGAUUAGAAACCCUAGUAGUCC
rnacentral:rRNA from 1 species